rnacentral:rRNA from 1 species
UACGAAGGGGGGCUAGCGUUGCUCGGAAUCACUGGGCGUAAAGCGCACGUAGGCGGAUUGCUAAGUCAGGGGUGAAAAUCCGUGGAGCUCAACUCCAGAACUGCCUUUGAUACUGGCGACCGUUGAGUCCGGGGGAAGGUUGAGUGGAACUGCGAAGUGUAGAGGUGAAAUUCGAUAGAUAUUCGGCAAAGAACACCCAGUCGGCGGAAGGCG